CAAAUUAAUAGUUAUCGGCGUAAAGCGUGUUUAAGACAUCCAAACAAUAAAGUUAAACCUUUACUACGCUGUAAAAAGCCUUAGUAAAACCAUAAACCCUCAACGAAAGUGACUUUAAUUAAUCUGACUACACGAUAGCUAGGACCCAAACUGGGAUUAGAUACCCCACUAUGCCUAGCCCUAAACCAAAACAGUUCACAAACAAAACUGUUCGCCAGAGUACUACUAGCAACAGCUUAAAACUCAAAGGACUUGGCGGUGCUUUACACCCAUCUAGAGGAGCCUGUUCUAUAAUCGAUAAACCCCGAUACACCUCACCAUUCCUUGCUAAUACAGCCUAUAUACCGCCAUCUUCAGCAGACCCUAAUAAGGCAAUACAGUGAGCACAAUAAUAUACAUAAAAACGUUAGGUCAAGGUGUAGCUAAUGGGAUGGGAAGAAAUG
rnacentral:rRNA from 1 species